GACGUAGGGCGCGAGCGUUGUCCGGAUUUAUUGGCGUAAAGAGCUCGUAGGCGGUUUGUCGCGUCUGCCGUGAAAGUCCGGGGCUCAACUCCGGAUCUGCGGUGGGUACGGGCAGACUAGAGUGAUGUAGGGGAGACUGGAAUUCCUGGUGUAGCGGUGAAAUGCGCAGAUAUCAGGAGGAACACCGAUGGCGAAGGCAGGUCUCUGGGCAUUAACUGACGCUGAGGAGCGAAAGCAUGGGAAGCGAACAGG
rnacentral:rRNA from 1 species